rnacentral:lncRNA from 1 species
CCAUGGACAGCUGUUGGCCUUGCCUCCUGCAGCACUGCUCCGAGACCUCCCCCAACCCUGCCACCUCGCUCUUGCUGGCUGGACACCUGCUUCUCCUUGCGGCCCACUCCUCCUUGUGCUGAUGCCCUGCAGCUAUCAGACAUGAUGCCAGCAGUAGCCAGAUUGCUGGUGGCUGGGUACCCUGCAGCAGGUGCCAGCAUCUCACCAAGGAAGGGAGCAGGCUGGAGAAGGUGAGAAGAGGAGAAGGAGAAGAGGGGUGGGAGAGGAAGAAGAGAAGGGAACAGCAGGCGCUCCAGCUGGACCUCCCUGAGAGUGCCCAGCCUCCUUGUGAACGCAGCGCUACUAAGGAAGAGCCCGCAGGAAGGGUUUGGCCAGUGUCUCCGCAGGACCUGUUCUGGAGACGCAGAGCUUUGAGACCACUCGUCCCAAGCACGGCAGUUUACAGAUUGAGACCCCUUUUACUUUUUGAGAGAGAGAAAAGCUGCAGGGAAGUGCCAGUCCUUCACCCACAGAGAAGACAUUUCGGGGCAAACCUGCCCACUUCUAAUCUGCUCCUCAAAGAGAGCUGCAAGGAGCUGCGGCUCAGUCUUUGUGUGAAGUGCUCAAGCAAACCGUCCAUCCCUCCCACGCCCCCAGCCCUCUCCACUUUUCUUUUAAGAGAGUGCUGCAUCUCUCCAGGGAUGGGGAUCACUCACAGAACAGCACUUUGCCUCUCAGAGCUUCUGACAAUUUGGCAGUGAGCUGCAAAGAAGCUGGGGAAGGGGUGGGACAGGGGUGUGUCUGGAGCACGGCCUAGUGUGUUUCUGGCCCCUGGCCAACCAAGGGACACUGGGCCAGAGCAGAGCUGUGCAGGUGGUGUGCUGGGAGGAGGGUGCAUGCUGCGAGGC